GACCCAAGUGCCUCUGCAGUGAAGAAGAGAGAUGUAACUGUGAGAUGCCUCAUAGAGUACAUGGGAGAGAGUGGACAGGAGCUAAUCUCUGACUACUGGAACUGCAGAGACCGCUGUUCAUGAGGACCUGGAAAUGAAGAAUAUGAGCAUCUACAUCUGUCGUGAGCCAAAUGCAGUAGGAAUCAUCAUUGAGGGAGUACCAGUCCUUACUCAUCUUGGAAACCUGGUCAAAGCAUGCUGCCUACUUCUGGGGUUGACAUAUGCACUUAAUCUUGAGUACCCAUCCAAACUUUCCAAAACAUUUGAGGUGUUUCAAAGACUUUUUGUGGGACUUGACACACUGCGCCCAAAACCAACCCCCAAAUUCAUGACUCUCAAAAACAAGCUUCUAGCUUAGGCAGUGAGCCAUGACUGUCAGCUUGCACUUUUGAACAGCUAUUUUCUUGUGUCUGUUCAAAAUCAUUAUACAUUGUUCAUUGAGUGGAAUUCUUCAGAAUGUUGUAACGGUUUGUCCUGUUCAGGUUUUAUACAAAGCUCCAGGUCAUCGUUUCUGGUGUGUAAAUUAAGUUUUUUUAUGUUUUAUACACACUAAAUUGCCCUACUGUGAAGCUCCAGCUGGUCAGAAGGAGGGAUCUGUGAGUUGUUUAAGUUAAAAUGUUUCAAAAUAUACACACUGAAAGACACUACAGUGAAGGUGUUCUGCUUGUGAAUUGUUACAGAAGUACAGAUAAUCUUAAUGUAAAAUUGUUUUAGCAAGAAACUGUACUGUGAAUGUUCUAAGUAAAACUUGAGAUGCUGAGGUCAUGCAUUCUUUUAUGCACUAAAUACUGAUGUUCUUGACUGUUAAUACUGUCCAGCUUAUUGACAGGUUUGGAUAUGGCUUGUGAAAAUGUUUUAAUAUGUAUACGGUUAAAAAAAAGAAAACUACUGUGAAGGUGUUCUAUACAGCACUUUAAAAAGUUGAGGUCAUGCAUUCUUGUAUAAUAUGGAUGUUGACUGUUCAUACUGUCCAGCUCAUUGCCACUGUUUUUAUAUGGUAAUGAUUUAAUAAAGGUUGGAAUUUGA